rnacentral:rRNA from 1 species
CCACGGGAGGCUGCAGUGAGGAAUAUUGCCCAAUGGAGGAAACUCUGAGGCAGCGACGCCGCGUGGGUGAUGAAGGCCUUCGGGUCGUAAAGCCCUUUUCUGCAUGACGAGAGAGGACGGUAGUGCAGGAAUAAGUCUCGGCUAACUACGUGCCAGCAGCCGCGGUAAAACGUAGGAGGCAAGCGUUAUCCGGAGUUACUGGGCGUAAAGCGUGCGUAGGCGGAUGGGUAAGUGGGUGGUGAAAGCGCUCGGCUAAACCGGGCGAGUGCCAUUCAGACUGCUCGUCUAGAGGCGGAUAGAGGGGUGCGGAAUUCCGGGUGUAGCGGUGAAAUGUGUAGAGAUCCGGAGGAACACCAGUGGUGCAAACGGCGCCCUGGGUCCGAACUGACGCUGAUGCACGAAAGCGUGGGGAGCGAACGGGAUUAGAUACCCCUGUAGUC